CAGUAGCCGCGGUAAUACGUAGGGUGCGAGCGUUAAUCGGAAUUACUGGGCGUAAAGCGUGCGCAGGCGGUUAUAUAAGACAGAUGUGAAAUCCCCGGGCUCAACCUGGGACCUGCAUUUGUGACUGUAUAGCUAGAGUACAGUAGAGGGGGAUGGAAUUCCGCGUGUAGCAGUGAAAUGCGUAGAUAUGCGGAGGAACACCGAUGGCGAAGGCAAUCCCCUGGACCUGUACUGACGCUCAUGCACGAAAGCGUGGGGAGCAAACAGGAUUAGAUACCCCGGUAGUCCCUGUCUCUUAUAC
rnacentral:rRNA from 1 species